CGAACUGGUGAGUAACACGUGGGAAACCUGCCCAGAAGCGGGGGAUAACACCUGGAAACAGAUGCUAAUACCGCAUAACAACUUGGACCGCAUGGUCCGAGUUUGAAAGAUGGCUUCGGCUAUCACUUUUGGAUGGUCCCGCGGCGUAUUAGCUAGAUGGUGAGGUAACGGCUCACCAUGGCAAUGAUACGUAGCCGACCUGAGAGGGUAAUCGGCCACAUUGGGACUGAGACACGGCCCAAACUCCUACGGGAGGCAGCAGUAGGGAAUCUUCCACAAUGGACGAAAGUCUGAUGGAGCAACGCCGCGUGAGUGAAGAAGGGUUUCGGCUCGUAAAACUCUGUUGUUAAAGAAGAACAUAUCUGAGAGUAACUGUUCAGGUAUUGACGGUAUUUAACCAGAAAGCCACGGCUAACUACGUGCCAGCAGCCGCGGUAAUACGUAGGUGGCAAGCGUUGUCCGGAUUUAUUGGGCGUAAAGCGAGCGCAGGCGGUUUUUUAAGUCUGAUGUGAAAGCCUUCGGCUCAACCGAAGAAGUGCAUCGGAAACUGGGAAACUUGAGUGCAGAAGAGGACAGUGGAACUCCAUGUGUAGCGGUGAAAUGCGUAGAUAUAUGGAAGAACACCAGUGGCGAAGGCGGCUGUCUGGUCUGUAACUGACGCUGAGGCUCGAAAGUAUGGGUAGCAAACAGGAUUAGAUACCCUGGUAGUCCAUACCGUAAACGAUGAAUGCUAAGUGUUGGAGGGUUUCCGCCCUUCAGUGCUGCAGCUAACGCAUUAAGCAUUCCGCCUGGGGAGUACGGCCGCAAGGCUGAAACUCAAAGGAAUUGACGGGGGCCCGCACAAGCGGUGGAGCAUGUGGUUUAAUUCGAAGCUACGCGAAGAACCUUACCAGGUCUUGACAUACUAUGCAAAUCUAAGAGAUUAGACGUUCCCUUCGGGGACAUGGAUACAGGUGGUGCAUGGUUGUCGUCAGCUCGUGUCGUGAGAUGUUGGGUUAAGUCCCGCAACGAGCGCAACCCUUAUUAUCAGUUGCCAGCAUUAAGUUGGGCACUCUGGUGAGACUGCCGGUGACAAACCGGAGGAAGGUGGGGAUGACGUCAAAUCAUCAUGCCCCUUAUGACCUGGGCUACACACGUGCUACAAUGGAUGGUACAACGAGUUGCGAACUCGCGAGAGUAAGCUAAUCUCUUAAAGCCAUUCUCAGUUCGGAUUGUAGGCUGCAACUCGCCUACAUGAAGUCGGAAUCGCUAGUAAUCGCGGAUCAGCAUGCCGCGGUGAAUACGUUCCCGGGCCUUGUACACACCGCCCGUCACACCAUGAGAGUUUGUAACACCCAAAGUCGGU
rnacentral:rRNA from 1 species